UGGAUACACCAAUUUCAUCGAGUAGCAGAGCUGAUAGCUUGGAUGCCAACUGGGGUUCUAUAUCAGUUCUUUCUACCCAGUCCGAGUCGACAGCCAUUCCUGAUGCCGAAACAACUGAUACUCAAAGACUCGAGAAGUCGGAGCAUGACUUGCAGAAACCAACUUCUGAAUCUGAGGAGUGCCAUGCUGACAAGUCGGAUGUUUAUGAGCCUCCGUCUUUCAUGACAUUGGUUGAAUCUGGUGAAAGUAGUGCUAACAAGAAAGCCACUGCUUCUGAGAUUGAAACACAGCUGAACGCUCAACAGCCGAAAACAGAAUCUCUUAAAGCAGGGUGGUUCCCUUCUAUUACCAAUGUGGUGAAUGAAUCUCAAGGGAGAAAGAAGAAUGAGGAGAUAAUUGCAAAAGUGACAAACUGGAGUACAGGGAAGCAGCAACACACUCCCUUGAAAAGUCUACUUGGUGAAGCCAGAUCUCCAAACGUAAAACAAGUUCCGCCAUCAGCCAACAAGAAAGAUGAAACUGCCAGUACUAAGACAACGACAGUCAACUCGAUUCUGAGCUCAGAGGCACCAACUGCUGUCAGUAAAGAGGCAGAGAAAGAAUGGAAUUCUCCCGCGAGGUAUCCUGUUGACAUCAAGAAGGAAAAGAGGAAGACGAAACCAUAUUGGGUACCGUUUGUUUGCUGCUCUUCAGUACAUCAAGACGCGUAGUUCUUUUGUUGCGUGAAUUUGACACAAUAUAUAUAUAUUCGUCUCUAUAUUAGUCUGUGCGUUUUUGAACUCCUUUAUUAGACAAAAUGUUUCAACUGCAGAGGGAGUAUUCUUG
rnacentral:misc_RNA from 1 species